UACGUAGGGUGCAAGCGUUAUCCGGAAUUAUUGGGCGUAAAGAGCUCGUAGGCGGUUUGUCGCGUCUGCUGUGAAAACUGGAGGCUCAACCUCCAGCCUGCAGUGGGUACGGGCAGACUAGAGUGCGGUAGGGGAGAUUGGAAUUCCUGGUGUAGCGGUGGAAUGCGCAGAUAUCAGGAGGAACACCAAUGGCGAAGGCAGAUCUCUGGGCCGUAACUGACGCUGAGGAGCGAAAGCAUGGGGAGCGAAC
rnacentral:rRNA from 1 species